rnacentral:rRNA from 1 species
UACGAAGGGGGCUAGCGUUGCUCGGAAUGACUGGGCGUAAAGGGCGCGUAGGCGGCUCAUACAGUCAGAUGUGAAAUUCCUGGGCUUAACCUGGGGGCUGCAUUUGAUACGUGUGGGCUUGAGUGGGGAAGAGGGUCGUGGAAUUCCCAGUGUAGAGGUGAAAUUCGUAGAUAUUCGGAGGAACACCAGUGGCGAAGGCGGCUCACUGGUCCGGUACUGACGCUGAGGUGCGAAAGCGUGGGGAGCAAACAGG